GUAACCUUUUUGCUGAAUCAUUAUGAGCGGGGGAACCAAUUUUGAUAAACCUGGUUUAUCUUGGGGUGAAUCUUAGCAUAUUAAGGCUAAGAAGGGAUACUCUCAAUCCCUAAUCCGACAGCUAACUCCGUAAGCCGAAUCGAGGGAAGGG
rnacentral:sRNA from 2 species